rnacentral:rRNA from 1 species
UACGGGGGGGGUAAGCGUUGUUCGGAAUUACUGGGCGUAAAGGGCUCGUAGGCGGCCAACUAAGUCAGACGUGAAAUCCCCAGGCUUAACCUGGGAACUGCGUCUGAUACUGGAUGGCUUGAAUUCGGGAGAGGGAUGCAGAAUUCCAGGUGGUAGCGGUGAAAUGCGUAGAUAUCUGGAGGAAUACCGGUGGCGAAGGCGGCAUCCUGGACCGACAUUGACGCUGAGGAGCGAAAGCUAGGGGAGCAAACGGG